GAUGAACGCUGGCGGCGUGCCUAAUACAUGCCAGUCGAGCGAACGGACGAGAAGCUUGCUUCUCUGAUGUUAGCGGCGGACGGGUGAGUAACACGUGGAUAACCUACCUAUAAGACUGGGAUAACUUCGGGAAACCGGAGCUAAUACCGGAUGAUAUUUUGAACCGCAUGGUUCAAAAGUGAAAGACGGUCUUGCUGUAACUUAUAGAUGGAUCCGCGCUGCAUUAGCUAGUUGGUAAUGUAACGGCUUACCAAGGCAACGAUGCGUAGCCGACCUGAGAGGGGGAUCGGCGACACUGGAGCUGAGACACGGUCCAGACGCCUACGGGAGGCAGCAGUAGGGAAUCUUCCGCAGUGGGCGAAAGCCUGACGGAGCAACGCCGCGUGAGUGAUGGAGGUCUUCGGAUCGUAAAACUCUGUUAUUAGGUAAGAACAUAUGUGUAAGUAACUGUGCACAUCUUGACGGUACCUAAUCAGAAAGCCACGGCUAACUACGUG
rnacentral:rRNA from 1 species